rnacentral:tRNA from 1 species
GCCUACGUAGUAUAUCCAUUACCCUGGUCUUGUAAACCAGAGAAGGGAGUAAACCUCCCCAUAGGCUC